GAAACGACCCGGCGAGGCAGAGCCUUCGGCGCCGAGGGCAGGCACGGCCGCCGCCCGCCCCGCCCCGCCGCUGUGCCGCGCUGCCGCUGCGCGUCCCGGCAGGGGGUCGAAGACGCGGGGCCCGCCGUCUUGGAGAUGCGGGGCCUGCCUUCGUCUCAAUUAGUGGGUCAAAGAGAAUUCGAGGACUCGUUCCACGAUAGACGUACAAGUCGACGUUCGAGUAGUAGAGAUCUCUUUUGACGAUCAACAUGUUUGAUCAAAAAAGAUCAACGUAGGUGAAACAGAGACAGUCGUUCGGUUCUACAGAGCGAGUAAACUAACUCACGUACCUCACUAGACCCCGAUACCUGUGGAAGAGGGGACUUCGAAUUUUGGACAUCAAAGACAAAUCUAUAACAUCCCACGACCUUACAAACCUUGAAGUCAAAACAUGAGGAAAAAACGAAAGAGAGACGUGACGCUAUCCGCCUCCGGCCACUUGUCUAAACCUUCACCGACACUACACCAGAGGAAAAUUACUUGACAAAACGUUUGAGAUCCGCAACUUAGUGUCUUGACUAUGACAUA
rnacentral:rRNA from 1 species